UGCUAUUUCACUGAUUUGAAGGUUCAGAAGAAAAAGUCUGCAUCCAGGGGCCGGCCCGGUGGUGCAGCGAAGUUUGCACGUUCUGCUUCAGCGGCCCGAGGAUUGCCAGUUCGGAUCCCGGUUGUGGACGUGGCACCACUUGGCAAGCCAUGCUGUGAGGGAUGCUGGCUGAGCAAUGGAAACAACAGGUCCUUCUGUGCAGCUCUGAAGCAGAAUCUGGAGAGGUCCUUGGAGAAUCUGCCAUGAAGCCUUGAGAGCUUGAGAACGUGAUGUGAAGGUAGAGUCUGGUUCCUGCAUUGGCCCAGAGAAACAGGAAGCCAGGAAGCUAGCGGGAACUCCCUGGGAUGAGUUACAUCCGCCGAAACAAGAGCAGAG
rnacentral:lncRNA from 1 species